CCCUUAGAUGUCCUGGGCUGCACGCGCGCUACACUGAUGUGUCCAGUAAGCACCUAACCUCUUCCGAAAGGAACGGGUAACCUUUGCAAAGCACAUCGUGAUGGGGAUAGAUUAUUGCAAUUAUUAGUCUUGAACGAGGAAUUCCUAGUAAGCACAAGUCAUCAGCUUGUGUUGAUUACGUCCCUGCCCUUUGUACACACCGCCCGUCGCUCCUACCGAUUGAAUGUUCCGGUGAGCUCUUCGGACUGCGCGGUCUGCAGUUUCUGCGUUUCGUGCGGAAAGUUGCGCAAACCUUAACAUUUAGAGGAAGGAGAAGUCGUAACA
rnacentral:rRNA from 1 species